ensembl:snoRNA snoRNA:Me28S-A1666a
UGUAAAUGAUGAUUUAUUAUUAUUUGCUACUCUUGAAGGUCAUUGAUGAAUACUUUCACCUUAAAACCUGAUG